GGCCCGGUUGCGCAUGGUGCGCACCUGCAUACAUUACCCGUUUCGUUGUCAUCAACAUGCAGGGCAGGAGGCGUCCGUUCGAUUCGGGCCCGGGCCG